rnacentral:rRNA from 1 species
GACGAACGCUGGCGGCGUGCUUAACACAUGCAAGUCGAGCGAUGAAGCUCCUUCGGGAGUGGAUUAGCGGCGGACGGGUGAGUAACACGUGGGCAACCUGCCUUAUAGAGAGGAAUAGCCAUCCGAAAGGAUGAUUAAUACCUCAUAAUAUUGUAGCUUCGCAUGGAGCAACAAUCAAAGGAGCAAUCCACUAUAAGAUGGGCCCGCGGCGCAUUAGCUAGUUGGUGAGGUAACGGCUCACCAAGGCGACGAUGCGUAGCCGACCUGAGAGGGUGAUCGGCCAUAUUGGGACUGAGACACGGCCCAGACUCCUACGGGAGGCAGAAGGGGGGAAUAUUGCACAAUGGGGGAAACCCUGAUGCAGCAACGCCGCGUGAGUGAUGACGGCCUUCGGGUUGUAAAGCUCUGUCUUCAGGGACGAUAAUGACGGUACCUGAGGAGGAAGCCACGGCUAACUACGUGCCAGCCGCCGCCGUAA